rnacentral:misc_RNA from 1 species
UCAAAGGCCGCCGGCAAUUUAAUGCCAUGCUUGCGUAGUUUGACAGCAUCGAGCUUGGCGACGUGCUGGUUCACUACAUCAAGUGCGCGCUUCAACGACUGUCGGCACACCCAAACAUCUGGCGAGGCAAUCAGGAGCUUCGCGUACAACGACCGCUCGCUGAUGUGCUCGGUGACCGUCGGGCCUAUCCUGAUGAAAUGGAGAAACAGAUAAAGCGAUGUUGCAACCCGUGAUCGGGUGGGUAAUGGGAGCGGAAUUUUCCUGAACUGGUUAUUUAGCCA